AGUCAGGUCUGGGACAUCACAAUAAAACGGCUUAGAUCAUCAUGUGUUGUUAUAAAGAUAGUAAGUGGGAAGAAAAGGAGGAGGAAAGAAAGAGAGAUGAUGGUGAUUUUUCCUGAAGGUGCUAAUCUUCCCUCUGGAACAAGGCAGAAUCAGGUGUUUGGAAACCCUGAGCCGUCUUCUCCGCAGGCUGAGCGUUUCCAGCUCUCUCGACACCUCCUCAAGCAAGGGUUUUGAGGAGACCCUCAAACGCCACUGCAGGUGACACUUCCGUGGUGUCAGGAAGGAGCAGAUGCUCCAGAGACGCGGCCCCGGUGAGUGGCGCAGCGAACCCAGGGGCAGGUAUGCAUGCACAGUAGACAUCCGGUGACACAGGACCUUUCACCCUCUGCCCGGGCCCCCUUCCCUUCUCCUGGAGGGGACGAGGCACAGGUAACAGCUUAAGGUAACAGCCAGCGGCCAGCCCCGGCCAGUCUUCCCCAGCUGCCCCGCCCACCCGCUGGCCUGAUUCCUGGCUCCUGCUCUGACCCGCGCCCUGCUUCCCGUGGUCCUCGCUGGACCCUGUCCUGGCUCCUCAGGUCCCUCAGGCCAGACCCCGGGGCCCAGAUGCCGCCGGCACUGAGGCUCCUGGGGCUGCCCCCGGCUCCCCAUCCUCCGGCCCCAGGACCGUCACUCUGGAGUCACCCAGCGGGUCGUGCUGACCACCCACCGCGGGUCUCCCCAGGGACCCCCGCCUUGGCCUCCAUGGUCACCCCUCCGCUGGACACACCUGGAAUGGAGCUGACGUCCCCAAGCCCAGGGGCCCUGGGGCUCAAGUGAGGCUCCGGGGGUGGAGGGGAAGGGGGGAACCAGAGCGGGUGAGGAGCAGGUCUGCAGAGAUGCGCACGCACACGCGGUCCUGGGCUGCUGGGAAGCUUUAUUGGUCUCUACUCUAGCGAGGGAGGCGAGGAUGCCCUCGGAGCAACAGGGGUGCCAGGAGCAGCCGUCCAAGGGCGCAGCACAGCGAGGCCAGGGCGGCGCUUCAGUGACGGGGCAUCUGUGGGGGACACGAGGCGUGGUGAGGCCCUUGCCCGGGGCCCAGCGGCUCCCCGCACUGCCGCCCCGCCUCUCACCUUGGCCGGGCUCGGUGGGUAUCUGGCUCUGAGGGCCUCCUCGUUCAGCAGAGGCCUCACCAGGCAAGAGCGGCGGUGGGAGAAGGUCUCGAAGCUCUUCCUGCCAUGGUAGGACCCCAUGCCGCUGCUCCCUGCGGGAGGAGCCGGCUCAGCGUGGCCCCGAGGCCCUGACGCCCCUCCUGCGCCCCUUCUCCGAGCCGCCGGGGGCCCCGAUCCCCGGGGUGUGGCCAGGAAGAGUCUCAUCCCAGCCCUGCCACUAGGUGGCUCUGUGACCUCUGACCCGUGCGGCCUCUCUCAGGCCCCAGGUGACCUCUGGGACCCUCUGGGGUCUCAAGGCUGAAUGCGGCUGAUGGAUGUGCCAGCAGAGGGAGAGGUCAGUGGGAGUCUGAGGCCCAGCCCAAGGGCGGGGGGGACACCCGCGGGGGGCAGCGGGCCGUGAGCUCGGCCCCAGACUCACCCACGCCCCCGUAGGGCAGCGAGGGCACGGUGACGUGGACGAUGACGUCGUUGGCCGUCACCCCGCCACUAGAAGUCUCCGCGAUCAUCUUCUUAAUCACCUGCAAUAGCCCCAGGGCUCAGCCUGCCGCCCCGGGACACCCAGCCCCUCCCCGCUGCCUGGGGCGUCCUAGAAGGCAGAGCCCCGGCCCAGGCCGCUCCCCGCCCCGAGCCCCAGUCUGGGUUCCCCACUCCCCCCACGUAGUUUUGUGGGGAGACGUGCGUGGCACCGAGGGGCUCAUCUUCUCAUUCAACGCUCUGUCCUGAUUUCAGAGCUGAGAAGAAAGGGGCUCAGGAAGGUGAAGCGGCUUGUGGUGAGCGGUGAGGCUGGGAUUUGCUCCCAGGUCUGCGAACCCCUGGAUCUUGUUUGCAGGAGCGGUGCGCCCGGGGCCCCAGGACCCUGGAGGAGGGCCCCCCGGCUCACCUUGUCGUUUAGGGAGAACACGUAGAGGGCCAGGGGCUUCUCGCGCUGGCUGAUAAACUGGAUGGCUUCCUCCAGGCUGUGCACGCAUACGAUGGGCAUUAUGGGUCCGAAGACCUCCUCCUGCAUCACCGGGGACUGGGGGUCCACGUCCACGAGGAUGGUGGGGGCUGGAGCAGGGAAGAAGCCGGCGUCAGCCAGUGCAGAGACCCCAGCCCAGGCGUCUGGUUUCUCCCCAGCCCUUUACAGACAAGGCCAGCAAGGCUUAGUGGGGGGCAGGCACGGGGCCUCCUCCUGCCAGGCUCCAUCCCGGCGGACCACGGAGAGAACCCUGGAUUCACCUAUACGGGGGGAGCCCGGGCGCCACACUUCAGGGGGCGGGCCCUGUGCCCCGCUGGCCCCGUGAGCCCUGCUGGAGCUCUUCAGCCUCCUGGCAACGUGGGGGCCCAGUGGGGUCCCAUCUGCUGACCCUCCAGCCCAGGCACGGCGGGCCCCUCCCGCUCGGCACACCUGGGGCUCCUGUGGCCUCUGCUGAAGCCGCCGGGACGCAGAGGAGGUGAAGCCUCCUCUAGGCCUUGAGGGGAGGGGCUUCCGGCUGGGGAGGGGCCUCCCAGGGGCUGUGCCCAGCCCCUGCCCGCCGAGAGCCCCACAGCCAAGCCGGGGCCACUGGUGAAAGUGACGGACACACACCAUGGGGCUGCGUCUGCUCUUCCGGGGCGUGUGCCCACCCGCCGCCCGCUCGCGGGGCCCCUGGCAGCACAGGCGGGCAGGCGGUGCUCCCCUGAAGGGCAGCGCACGCACCUAUGUACCGGGUGGCCGCGUCCCCGGUGCCCCCGUAGGCGACCUUCGGGCCCUCCAUCAGGCCCAUCACCCUCUGGAAGUGCAGGGAGUUGAUGAUUCUCCCGUAGUCGCGGGACUUCUUGGCGUCCUCCCCGUAGAACUCCUGUGGAGGAGAGCCUCCAGGUGAGGAUGUGGACCCUCGUCGUGGCCACAGGCUGUGAGGUCACCGGUGACCCCAAGCUGGGAGCACACGUGGGCACCGCCCGGUGGAUGGCACAGCGACACCGAGAACCACGGAGCUGCCGCACCCUGGGCGCCCCACGACUUCCCUGGCACGUGAAGUGCUGCAAGACAGCUGUGUUGUUUGAAAGAGACACACGCACGGCGUCUGGACAUCACACUGGGACCAAACGCGUGCGUCUACAGCAAGGAGAAUGGAGGGGACACACCAAGUCAGCAGCGACUGGCUUUAGGUGGUGGGAUUCCGGGUGGAGCUUUUUCCCCUUCUCUAUGCUUUUCAAUCUUUUCCAAAUUAUCGACAGUGAGUGUGGAUUAUUUUCAUGAUCAGAAAAAAAUAAUCCAGUCUUUUCUCAA